rnacentral:rRNA from 1 species
CACUCCUACGGGAGGCAGCAGUGGGGAAUAUUGGACAAUGGGCGCAAGCCUGAUCCAGCCAUGCCGCGUGAGUGAUGAAGGCCCUAUGGUUGUAAAGCUCUUUCACCGGUGAAGAUAAUGACGGUAACCGGAGAAGAAGCCCCGGCUAACUUCGUGCCAGCAGCCGCGGUAAUACGAAGGGGGCUAGCGUUGUUCGGAUUUACUGGGCGUAAAGCGCACGUAGGCGGACUAUUAAGUCAGGGGUGAAAUCCCGGGGCUCAACCCCGGAACUGCCUUUGAUACUGGUAGUCUUGAGUUCGAGAGAGGUGAGUGGAAUUCCGAGUGUAGAGGUGAAAUUCGUAGAUAUUCGGAGGAACACCAGUGGCGAAGGCGGCUCACUGGCUCGAUACUGACGCUGAGGUGCGAAAGCGUGGGGAGCAAACAGGAUUAGAUACCCGUGUAGUCCCAUG